GAUGAACGCUAGCGAUAGGCUUAACACAUGCAAGUCGAGGGGCAGCACAAGGUAGCUUGCUAUCUGGGUGGCGACCGGCGCACGGGUGCGUAACGCGUAUGCAACUUGCCCUAUACAGGAGGAUAACCCGUCGAAAGACGGACUAAUACUGCGUAUGCUCACAACUUGGCAUCAAGUGGUGAGGAAAGAAAUUCGGUAUAGGAUAGGCAUGCGUCCCAUUAGCUUGUUGGUGAGGUAACGGCUCACCAAGGCAACGAUGGGUAGGGGAACUGAGAGGUUUAUCCCCCACACUGGUACUGAGACACGGACCAGACUCCUACGGGAGGAAGCAGUGAGGAAGAUUGGUCAAGGGGCGCGAGCCUGAACCAGCCAAGUCGCGUGAAGGAUGACUGUCUUAUGGAUUGUAAACUUCUUUUAUACGGGAAGAACAAGAGUCACGUGUGACUCCCUGCAUGUACCGUAUGAAUAAGCAUCGGCUAACUCCGUG
rnacentral:rRNA from 1 species